rnacentral:rRNA from 1 species
CACCUACGGGAGGCAGCAGUCGAGAAUCUUCGGCAAUGAGCGCAAGCUUGACCGAGCGACGCCGCGUGCGGGAUGAAGGCCUUCGGGUUGUAAACCGCUUUGGUCCGAAAGAAAGGGUAAAACUUGAUCGAUCGGAGAAACAAGGACGGGCUAAGUUCGUGCCAGCAGCCGCGGUAAGACGAACCGUCCAAACGUUAUUCGGAAUCACUGGGCUUAAAGGGCGCGUAGGCGGCCGAGCGGGUCGUGGGUGAAAUCCCCCAGCUUAACUGGGGAACUGCUUACGAUACCACUGCGGCCCGAGGAAGGAAGGGGCAAUUGGAACUGUCGGUGGAGCGGUGAAAUGCGUUGAUAUCGACAGGAACGCCUGUGGCGAAAGCGAAUUGCUGGUCCUUUUCUGACGCUGAGGCGCGAAAGCCAGGGGAGCAAACGGGAUUAGAUACCCCGGUAGUCCUGGCCUUAAACGAUGAGAACUAGGUAGUGGGUCCGACCUGGGCACACUGCCGAAGCGAAAGUCUUA